GCUAAAUAUUUCCACAGGACCGAUAGCAAACAAGUACCGUGAGGGAAAGUUGAAAAGCACUCUGAAGAGAGAGUCAAAAGACCGUGAAACCGCUCAGGGUAUAAGCCCAUGGUGAUUUGGAAGGCGGAACACAUGAUAAGGAGUGCUACUUGGCUUAGUACUGUCCGUCUCGUGCACGCACUUGGGAGGUUAAGUUGUGCAGUACAUCGUAAUGCCGCUGCCGAUCGGGAGUUGGGUUGGGAGUUGCUGGCGGCGCGUGUCAAAGCGUGUCGUCUUCGGCUCUCGCUCUUCUCUUGCGAUCGACCGACCAGGAGGUGCAGAUGCGAGACUGUGUUAUAUGCCCACCACAACACGUUGCGAGGUCACCCACAGGCUCGACUGUCGAUUGCGCAUCCAUUCUCGGGCAGGCUGCGGCAGAGUCGUUACCAGGCAAGGUUCGGCGAUGCAGCUCUGCUCGGAGUGGGUCGGGCGGCGACUGAGUUCUGGUAUGAUCCUCCUGCGACGAGUUGCUUUCUGACCAGAACAGCGCGCCAUGGAUUCACAUCUCGUGUUUCUGUGUGUACCAAGGGAAGGCUGCCUUGUCCCCUUAAGGCGGUUUGUGCCCUCUGCAUGAGCUUAAUCAGCAAGGCCUCCGUCGCGCUGCUGUACCUGUGUGGUGUAAAGUCCAAAGCCAUCGGUCACGUCUCGAAACACGGG
rnacentral:rRNA from 2 species